rnacentral:misc_RNA from 1 species
AUGUGGCUUGUGCCAGUUAGGAG